rnacentral:rRNA from 1 species
CCUACGGGGGGCUGCAGUGAGGAAUAUUGGUCAAUGGACGAGAGUCUGAACCAGCCAAGUAGCGUGAAGGAUGACUGCCCUAUGGGUUGUAAACUUCUUUUAUAAAGGAAUAAAACGAGGCACGUGUGCCUUUUUGCAUGUACUUUAUGAUUAAGGAUCGGCUAACUCCGUGCCAGCAGCCGCGGUAAUACGGAGGAUCCGAGCGUUAUCCGGAUUUAUUGGGUUUAAAGGGAGCGUAGAUGGGUUGUUAAGUCAGUUGCGAAAGUUUGCGGCUCAACCGUAAAAUUGCAAUUGAUACUGGCAGUCUUGAGUACAGUUGAGGUAGGCGGAAUUCGUGGUGUAGCGGUGAAAUGCUUAGAUAUCACGAAGAACCCCGAUGGCGAAGGCAGCUUACUAAACUGUGACUGACAUUGAUGCUCGAAAGUGUGGGUAUCAAACAGGAUUAGAUACCCGAGUAGUC